rnacentral:rRNA from 1 species
UGGGGAAUAUUGCGCAAUGGAGGAAACUCUGACGCAGCGACGCCGCGUGGGUGAUGAAGGCCUUCGGGUUGUAAAGCCCUGUCGGUUGGGAAAAAGAUAGUUCACCUAAUACGUGAGUUGUUUGAUGGUACCAGCAAAGGAAGUAGCGGCUAACUCUGUGCCAGCAGCCGCGGUAAUACAGAGGCUACGAGCGUUGUUCGGAAUUACUGGGCGUAAAGGGCGCGUAGGCGGUCUCGCAAGUCAGAUGUGAAAUCCCGGGGCUUAACUCCGGAAGUGCAUUUGAAACUACGAGGCUAGAGUGCAGUAGAGGUUGGUGGAAUUCCCAGUGGAGAGGUGAAAUUCGUAGAUAUUGGGAGGAACACCGGUGGCGAAGGCGGCCAACUGGGCUGCAACUGACGCU